rnacentral:rRNA from 1 species
GAUGAACGCUGGCGUCGUGCCUAAUACAUGCAAGUCGAGCGAACAGACGAGGAGCUUGCUCCUCUGACGUUAGCGGCGGACGGGUGAGUAACACGUGGAUAACCUACCUAUAAGACUGGGAUAACUUCGGGAAACCGGAUCUAAUACCGGAUAAUAUAGUGAACCGCAUGGUUCAAUAGUGAAAGACGGUUUUGCUGUCACUUAUAGAUGGAUCCGCGCCGCAUUAGCUAGUUGGUAGGGUAACGGCUUACCAAGGCAACGAUGCGUAGCCGACCUGAGAGGGUGAUCGGCCACACUGGAACUGAGACACGGUCCAGACUCCUACGGGAGGCAGCAGUAGGGAAUCUUCCGCAAUGGGCGAAAGCCUGACGGAGCAACGCCGCGUGAGUGAUGAAGGUCUUCGGAUCGUAAAACUCUGUUAUUAGGGAAGAACAAAUGUGUAAGUAACUAUGCACGUCUUGACGGUACCUAAUCAGAAAGCCACGGCUAACUACGUG